rnacentral:rRNA from 1 species
UCAAGCGACUAAGUGCAUCUGGUGGAUGCCUUGGCGAUCACAGGCGAUGAAGGACGUGUAAGCCUGCGAAAAGCGCGGGGGAGCUGGCAAUAGAGCUUUGAUCCCGCGAUGUCCGAAUGGGGAAACCCACCGCUUAGGCGGUAUCCCUGACUGAAUACAUAGGUCAGAGGAGGCGAACCGAGUGAACUGAAACAUCUAAGUAACUCGAGGAAAAGAAAUCAACCGAGAUUCCGUAAGUAGUGGCGAGCGAACGCGGAACAGCC